rnacentral:rRNA from 1 species
AGAACGAACGCUGGCGGCAUGCCUAAUACAUGCAAGUCGAACGAACACUUCGGUGUUAGUGGCGCACGGGUGCGUAACGCGUGGGAAUCUGCCCUUGGGUUCGGAAUAACAGUUGGAAACGACUGCUAAUACCGGAUGAUGACGAAAGUCCAAAGAUUUAUCGCCCAGGGAUGAGCCCGCGUAGGAUUAGCUAGUUGGUAGGGUAAAGGCCUACCAAGGCUACGAUCCGUAACUGGUCUGAGAGGAUGAUCAGUCACACUGGAACUGAGACACGGUCCAGACUCCUACGGGAGGCAGCAGUGGGGAAUAUUGGACAAUGGGCGAAAGCCUGAUCCAGCAAUGCCGCGUGCAGGAAGAAGGCCUUCGGGUUGUAAACUGCUUUUGUACGGAACGAAACGGUCUGCUUAAUACAGUGGCUAAUGACGGUACCGUAAGAAUAAGCACCGGCUAACUACGUGCCAGCAGCCGC